AAUGUAAACUAGAUUUGAAGUGUUUUAGUAAAAUUGGAACCCUAGAGUCAAAAGUAUUACAGUGUCUGUGGUACAACUACUCUGAUUUGUUUUUAUGAUUGAAGUCACUAGUCUCUGUGGUUGAAAAUCAAGGUAUAAAUAGACAGAAAGCAGAGGUUGCUCUCAUGGACAGCUUAUUCCCCCCUGCCUCAGCUAUCCUUCCUUGUCCUGGCCUUAGGGAUUCAGCCCAAUUACUUUUCCUCUGUUCUUUCCACUGCUUAGGAUUAAGGUAAACAAAAAGGCCUUCUUAGAUUUAAGGAUUUAAUGGCUCACCUCCACAGGGAGGCAGAAAACUAGCAAAUGUUGUUUUAUAUAUAUAUAUGUGUGUGUGUGUGUGUGUGUGUGUGUGUGUGUGUAUACAUAUAUGUUAACACACACACCAACAGUUAAGUGCUUCUUACAAUGAGUUCUUACUGGUGUGCAGAAUACUUUUAUAAUAUCCAUCCCCAUUUUCACUCCUGCUUCAAAAGUCCUUUAGAUUUCACCUGAUGAGUCAUUCUCAGAGAAACUCUCCCUGAUCUUCAGACCAGUCAGAUCUCAGGCGAGAGGAACCCUUAGCAUUCUUUACCUCAGUUGUAGCACUAAUUAGAAAGUACUGUGUAAUUAGAUUUUUCAUGUCUGCCUCUCCGACUAAAAUGUACACUUGAUGACAAGAAAGGCUCUGUCAGUCUUAUUAGACCUAGAUGUAUACUUGCACCAUAGAACCCAAUCCCAUUUACAAAAUACAUGCUUAGGUAGUAUUUCUAAAAUAAGACAGGGAGAGAACAUAAUUUGACAAAAUUUCAAAUAGAUAUUAGUGUGAUACAAUAAUAAGCAACAGAAAGGAGAGGAUGUGACUGGGGUAAUGAAGGGCACUAACUAGGAAAUGUUCUCAGGAAAAUGCCUUUCUAAACAGCUGACAGAUAUGCUGACACUUGUCUGAAAUUAGGGAGCAGGUAAUGCAGGUAUGCAGGAGUGGGGAGAGUGUUCUAGUAUAGGGGCCAGCAGGUGCAAGGUCCUGAGAUAUGGUCAUAAUCUUUGUUCCAUGAACAUCAUGAAGGGCUGUGUGAAGAAAGAUAUAAAAGAUGAGGAAGGUAAUAAGCAGAUCAUAUAGUCCCAGUUUAUGAAUUUCCUCUACCACUACCCUUCCAAUAUCCCCUCCCUAACUCACUGAUGAUCAGUUCACUGAUUUUAAAAAUUACUAGUAAUCAUUAAAAAAUUUCAUUUUUUCUACUAGGAAAUCUACCACCCUCCCUGCAUUUUACAGCCACAUAAGUGAGGCUCCCUUCUCUUCCAACUAUUUCUUCUGAUUACUAAGAACUUUUCUCUAGUCAUAAGUACUCAGUGUGCCAUACUAUAUGGUCAAUAUAGAGGAAAGGUGAGAAAUAAUCUUCAGAGAGUGAGGAAGCCAAUUGCCCGAAGUAGAACUUCAACUUAAUGCUGAGUGCUUACUUGAAAUUUAAGGUUAAAUCUGAAGUGAGAUGUAUCUAUGAGAGCAUCUUUCUCUCUUUCUUCAUCGGUUGGUAGGCUCUCUCAUAAAGCAAGUAGAAUUGGGUUUAACCAGUGUGGGGGCCUUGCCAGGCAGGGAUGAUGAAAGGAAGCAGCACAGGAUGUGGAGAUAUUUAUAAGGAGGUGAGUAUCCUUAUAGACUGUGAAAUCUAAGACGGACUCUGAAGGAAGUGGAGGGUAAUGUGGAAAGUAGAAUGAUGGUAGAGAAGUAAGAGAAUGGAUUUGGAUGUCUUAAGGAGUCUAAAGGGGUGAAUGAAGCUGAAUUAAGUUGUAAGAGGUCAGGGUCAGAAAGAGAGAGAGGCAGGCUCACCUCACGUUCAUUGCAGCAUUACUCACAGUUGCCAAGGUAUGUAAAUGACCUACGUGUCUAAGGACGAAUGGAUAAAGAAAAGAUCCGUGUGUGUAUGUAUAUGCUCCCCCACACACAUUCAGAUAUUAUUCACCCUCAAACAAGAAAGAAGUCUUGUCAUUUUUGACAACAUGGAUGAAUUUGGAGGACAUUAUGCUGAGUGAAAUAAGCCAGACAAAGACUGCAAGUAUCACUUACGUGUGGAAUUUAAAAAUGAAAGUUUAACUCAUAGACACAACAAAGUGGUUGCUGGGUGGGUAGGGAGAAUAGGUGAAGUUUUACACACUUUCAGCUAUAAGAUGAAUAAGGUUUGAAGAUCAAGUAUA